CUCCAGACUCCUACGGGAGGCAGCAGUGAGGAAUAUUGGUCAAUGGUCGCGAGACUGAACCAGCCAAGUAGCGUGCAGGAUGACGGCCCUAUGGGUUGUAAACUGCUUUUAUGCGGGGAUAAAAUGCGUCACGUGUGAUGUUUUGUAGGUACCGCAUGAAUAAGGACCGGCUAAUUCCGUGCCAGCAGCCGCGGUAAUACGGAAGGUCCGGGCGUUAUCCGGAUUUAUUGGGUUUAAAGGGAGCGUAGGCCGCAUGUUAAGCGUGCCGUGAAAUGCCGUGGCUCAACCAUGGCACUGCGGCGCGAACUGGCUUGCUUGAGUGCGCUGAACGUAUGCGGAAUUCGUGGUGUAGCGGUGAAAUGCUUAGAUAUUGCGCAGAACUCCGAUUGCGAAGGCAGCCUACCGGCUCCUGUCUGACGCUGAGGCACGAAAGCGUGGGUAUCGAACAGGAUUAGAUACCCGAGUA
rnacentral:rRNA from 1 species